rnacentral:rRNA from 1 species
AUGUACCGGUUAGUAUGCAGCAUGCAUGCAAAUCUAACAAUAGAUUCUGCAGAUGAUCCCGGGGUUAAUCCGGAGGUAGUGCAAGGGGAUGAGCAACAUGCUCAACGACAGUUAAAGGCUGGCGAGCGCGUGCUUAAGCAGGUUAGGCAGGAGAAAAACAAUCUCCAAGAUGCCAAUAUCCGGCUGAGUGUUGAACUGAAAGAUGUUCGGGCCCAACUUGCUGACUCCGUAAAGGAAAAUAAGAGGCUUCGACGCGACAUUUUUAGUAAGUGCUUGAACGAACUUUUUAUUGAGUUCGGCAAAGAAACCGGCUAA